rnacentral:rRNA from 1 species
AGCACCACAACGGGUGGAGCUUGCGGUUUAAUUGGAUUCAACGCCGGAAAUCUUACCGGGACCGACAGCAAUAUGAGGGCCAGGCUGAAGACUUUGCCGGAUUAGCUGAGAGGUGGUGCAUGGCCGUCGUCAGUUCGUACUGUGAAGCAUCCUGUUAAGUCAGGCAACGAGCGAGACCCACGCCCACAGUUGCCAGCGUACUCUCUGGAGUGACGGGUACACUGUGGGGACCGCCGCUGCUAAAGCGGAGGAAGGAAUGGGCAACGGUAGGUCAGUAUGCCCCGAAUAUCCCGGGCUACACGCGAGCUACAAUGGUUGGUACAAUGGGUAUCUACCCCGAAAGGGGACGGGAAUCUCCUAAAACCAAUCUUAGUUCGGAUUGAGGGCUGCAACUCGCCCUCAUGAAGCUGGAAUCCGUAGUAAUCGCGUUUCAACAGAACGCGGUGAAUACGUCCCUGCUCCUU